rnacentral:sRNA from 1 species
GCUGGGCAUGGUAGUGCAUGCCUGUAAUCCCCAGCAGCUUGGAAGGCUGAGGCAGAAGGAUCUUGAGUUCAGAGCUAGCCUCAGCAAUUUAGUGAGGCCCUGAGCAACUUAGUGAGACCCUGUCUCAA